AGCCUUCAGCAAACCAAUGGACAAGUAUUGAAGGUGAUGCCUGCCCGGUGACAUAGUUCAACGGCCGCGGUAUCCUAACCGUGCAAAGGUAGCGCAAUCAAUUGUCCCGUAAAUCGGGACCUGUAUGAAUGGCUAAACGAGGUCUUAACUGUCUCUUACAGACAAUCGGUGAAAUUGAUCUCCCUGUACAAAAGCAGGGAUAAACCCACAAGACGAGAAGACCCUGUGGAACUUCAAAAUCAGCAGCCACCCCGAAUUACAUACCAACCCACCCGGGCUCACUUAUCCCACGGGCGCUUGGCCUGCAAUUUUUCGGUUGGGGCGACCUUGGAGCAAAACAGAACCUCCAAAUCUUAGACCUUACAUCUAGACCAAGAGCAACCUCUCGACGUGCUAAUAGCAACCAGAUCCAAUAUAAUUGAUCAAUGGACCAAGCUACCCCAGGGAUAACAGCGCAAUCUCCUCCAAGAGUCCAUAUCGACGAAGAGGUUUACGACCUCGAUGUUGGAUCAGGACAUCCUAGUGGUGCAGCCGCUACUAAGGGUUCGUUUGUUCAACGAUUAACAGUCCU
rnacentral:rRNA from 1 species